GCGGCCGUAGAACAAUGGUAGUUCACCAGAUUGUGAUUCUGGCUGUUGCGGGUUCGAGUCCCGUCGGUCGCC
rnacentral:tRNA from 1 species